rnacentral:tRNA from 2 species
GGUCCCAUCGUCUAGAGGCCCAGGACAUUGCCCUCUCACGGCAAAAACGCGGGUUCGAAUCCCGCUGGGACUA